rnacentral:rRNA from 1 species
GUGAGGAAUCUUCCACAAUGGGCGAAAGCCUGAUGGAGCAACGCCGCGUGAAGGAUGAAGGUCUUCGGAUUGUAAACUUCUUUUAUGAGUGAAGAAUAUGACGGUAACUCAUGAAUAAGCACCGGCUAACUACGUGCCAGCAGCCGCGGUCAUACGUAGGGUGCAAGCAUUAUCCGGAGUGACUGGGCGUAAAGAGUUGCGUAGGCGGUUAUGUAAGCGAAUAGUGAAACCUGGUGGCUCAACCACACAUACUAAUAUUCGAACUGCAUAACUCGAGAAUGGUAGAGGUAACUGGAAUUUCUUGUGUAGGAGUGAAAUCCGUAGAUAUAAGAAGGAACACCAAUGGCGUAGGCAGGUUACUGGGCCAUUUCUGACGCUAAGGCACGAAAGCGUGGGGAGCGAACCGGAUUAGAAACCCCGGUAGUCC